CGCCGUCCCGGAAAAUCAAUGCCGUUUAGAUGAUCAACGAUAAUCUAUAAGUAUCGGGCUUAGAAAUUUAUUCAUAAGUCUGAAUAUCAAUAUCUCCGAGGCAAACACCUGUAAUAGUAUACAAAUGUAACAGUUUUCGAUAAGAUAAGAUCAUUAUCAACAUAACAUAUAUAAAUACUUCACACUAUUGUUUUAAACAGGAACAUUGUUUCUAAAUAUAUAUUCACGUCUCUUGCCAAAACAUAAAAGUACUGCAGUAUGUCGGCGACCUAAAGGUGUUAAGGUUUCUCUAACACGGUACAGCAUCAUGAGCUUAACAAAAAUUCUACAGAGGACAAUUCAAGGUCAGACACAUCGUCAAUUGUCGUACUUUAUGCCAGUGUACGAGUCCUAUAGCAGAAAAACGGAAAAGAAACCUAUACAGUCUGUGUUUAACACUGCGGAAUUCACCUAUUUCCAUGUUUCCUCUGCCAAUACGAGAUACAAGCCUGUAAAUAACAAAACACAACAUAAUAAAU